AAUAAAAAGGCACCCCAUUUCCCUUACAGCUGUCUCGCCGAACGCCGCCCUUCACAGCCGUCUCGCUCAUCCGUCGCCAGCCACGAAUCCCAACUGCUCGCAUCUUUUUCUUCUCUCGGCAACCCUUGCCUAACGGUGGCCGUCCGCGAGCAUCGGUGACCAAACCGCGCGACCUUUUCCCUUCCAGUCGCGUGUCCGUGCCUCGCCUCACCGUCGGCCCUUCGCACGCCUCUGCUCACGUCGUGACGGUCGUCGUCGACUCUCAGCCGUCCGCGGGUGCCAGAUCGAAGAUGUGGGUUUUGACGUCGUUGCUGAUCCGUCUUGUCGUCCGACGUCGCUUCUUCGUCCAACAUCGUCCAGCUUCUACCGUCGUCGCGGUUGCUGUUGUCUCUUUUGGAAGCGAUAUUCAGAGGAUUUUGAGGACGUUGCUCAUCGAGGAGGAGACUGAUUUUUCGUCAGGAAUUGUUAAGUUUGGAUUGGCGUUUUGGUAUGAGUUCUAAAAUCUGCUAAGAGAAAAUUUUGGAGUCGAAAUCUUGCGAGUUUCGUUUGGGUAAGUUUUGGCGACCAUCUGAUUUAAAUUUUUAUGUUUGGUCCUGAUUCCAAAGGCUGAAAUUUAGUAUUAUGUCUGUAUUAGAGGACUUAAUUCAAGGUUUAUUUUGUUGAAGAGCAUUAGCUUGGAUUAAUAUCUGAACUUGACUUCGAGGUAAGUAAUCUUAUCAUUGGAACUGCCCACGGGCCAGGCUCUAGUUGUAUGCUAGCAUGAUAAGUGUAUGUUAUGGUAAAUGUUAGGAUGUUGAUUGACAGUAUGACUUGAAUCAA